UAUCAAUUUUUUUAUGCUAUAAAAUGACAGUUUAGUCCUAUGCUCUGAAAACUAGUUAAAAAGGCAGGUUCCUCCUAAGAUAAUCAACAUGUAAAAUAGGGAUUCAUUCCCAAACAGUCCUCAUUGUGACAGAAUUCUCAUUGCCCAGCAGGAAUGGCACUCCAGAACACAGCCAGCCUUCUGACCAAGUCACUCAGAGCAACACUCUUCUGUGAAUUUUAGUUCCUUUCUAUUGGGAAAUAUUUCAUGUAGUUAUCAUCAAUCAUCUUUUAGUUAAGUAAGUAAUUAACAGCCCACACAGUUAGACCCACAGCUACCCAGGUCAUGUCUCUGCUGUCUAAGACCCACAACACAAGAACUAAUUAAUCUAGGCUGAACUAUCUGAUCUUCAUUCAUGUCCCAGAGGUACGUACAAAUGAGCAGCAAAAGCGAGGCAUGGUGGCGCACAUUUGCAAUCCCAGCACUUUAAAGACGGAGGCAGGAGAAUCACUUGAACCCGGGAGGCGGAGGUUGCAGUGAGCCAAGAUCGUGCCAGUGCACUCCAGCCUGGGCGACAAGGAGCAACACUCCGUCUGAGAAAAAAGUUCUAAGCUGGAAACCACAAUAACAGACAAUAGCAAAGUUUCUUCUCAGCUCUAACAUUCUAAAUCUUUUAAUUAUUCUGUCAUAUAAAAAAUUAUAUAAAAAGGGAAAGAAAGAAGGCCAGGAAACCACACAUUUCACAACCUUUCUCAAGCUCCUUGAAUCCAUUAAUAUAUCACUUUAUGAGAUCAUACAGCGUUAAAGAAUAGUAUUUGGCUAUUCUGUAAGUAACAAUUUUGAGAACCACAUUAAUUAGUCCAAAUAUCUAUUUUUAUAGCAUAAAGCUUCAUUUUCCUAACUAAGU
rnacentral:lncRNA from 1 species